UGGGGAAUAUUGGACAAUGGGGGAAACCCUGAUCCAGCCAUGCCGCGUGAGUGAUGAAGGCCUUAGGGUUGUAAAGCUCUUUUGUCAGGGAAGAUGAUGACGGUACCUGAAGAAUAAGCACCGGCUAACUUCGUGCCAGCAGCCGCGGUAAUACGAAGGGUGCUAGCGUUGUUCGGAAUUACUGGGCGUAAAGCGCGCGUAGGCGGCUUUUCAAGUCAGGGGUGAAAUCCCACGGCUCAACCGUGGAAUUGCCUUUGAAACUGUAAAGCUCGAGUGUCGGAGGGGAUGGCGGAAUUGCCAAUGUAGAGGUGAAAUUCGUAGAUAUUGGCAGGAACACCGGUGGCGAAGGUGGCCAUCUGGACGACAACUGACGCUGAGGCGCGAAAGCGUGGGGAUCAAACAGGAUUAGAUACCCUGGUAGUCCACGCUGUAAACGAUGGAUGCUAGCUGUUGGGGGUACCCUCAGUAGCGUAGCUAACGCGUUAAGCAUCCCGCU
rnacentral:rRNA from 1 species